rnacentral:rRNA from 1 species
UGGCGGCAGGCUUAACACAUGCAAGUCGAGCGGUAGCAGAUCUAGCUUGCUAGAUGCUGACGAGCGGCGGACGGGUGAGUAACGCGUAGGAACCUGCCCAGUAGUGGGGGAUAGCCCGGGGAAACUCGGAUUAAUACCGCAUACGCUCUACGGAGGAAAGAGGGGGCUUCGGCUCUCGCUAUUGGAUGGGCCUGCGUGAGAUUAGCUAGUUGGUGAGGUAAUGGCUCACCAAGGCGACGAUCUCUAGCUGGUCUGAGAGGAUGAUCAGCCACACUGGGACUGAGACACGGCCCAGACUCCUACGGGAGGCAGCAGUGGGGAAUAUUGCACAAUGGGCGCAAGCCUGAUGCAGCCAUGCCGCGUGUGUGAAGAAGGCUUUCGGGUUGUAAAGCACUUUCAGUGGGGAGGAAGGCCUCGUAGUUAAUAGCUGCGAGGAUUGACGUUACCCACAGAAGAAGCACCGGCUAACUCCGUG